rnacentral:tRNA from 1 species
GGGAAUGUGGCUUAGUGGUAGAGUGCUUGCCUAGAAUGCAUGAAGUACUGGGUUUGAUUCCUUACUACCA